GACGAACGCUGGCGGCGUGCUUAACACAUGCAAGUCGAACGGUAAGGCCCUUCGGGGUACACGAGUGGCGAACAGGUGAGUAACACGUGGGUGAUCUGCCCUGCACUUCGGGAUAAGCCUGGGAAACUGGGUCUAAUACCGGAUAGGACCACUGCCUGCAUGGGUGGUGGUGGAAAGCGUUUGCGGUGUGGGAUGGGCCCGCGGCCUAUCAGCUUGUUGGUGGGGUGAUGGCCUACCAAGGCGACGACGGGUAGCCGGCCUGAGAGGGUGACCGGCCACACUGGGACUGAGAUGCGGCCCAGACUCCUACGGGAGGCAGCAGUGGGGAAUAUUGCACAAUGGGCGCAAGCCUGAUGCAGCGACGCCGCGUGAGGGAUGACGGCCUUCGGGUUGUAAACCUCUUUGAGCACCGACGAAGCGCAAGUGACGGUAGGUGCAGAAGAAGGACCGGCCAACUACGUGCCAGCCGCCGCCGUAA
rnacentral:rRNA from 1 species